rnacentral:rRNA from 1 species
CCUACGGGAGGCAGCAGUGGGGAAUUUUGGACAAUGGGCGAAAGCCUGAUCCAGCAAUGCCGCGUGAGUGAAGAAGGCCUUCGGGUUGUAAAGCUCUUUUGUCAGGGAAGAAACGGUGCGGGCUAAUAUCCUGCACUAAUGACGGUACCUGAAGAAUAAGCACCGGCUAACUACGUGCCAGCAGCCGCGGUAAUACGUAGGGUGCAAGCGUUAAUCGGAAUUACUGGGCGUAAAGCGUGCGCAGGCGGUUUUGUAAGUCUGUCGUGAAAUCCCCGGGCUCAACCUGGGAAUUGCGAUGGAGACUGCAAGGCUAGAAUCUGGCAGAGGGGGGUAGAAUUCCACGUGUAGCAGUGAAAUGCGUAGAGAUGUGGAGGAACACCGAUGGCGAAGGCAGCCCCCUGGGUCAAGAUUGACGCUCAUGCACGAAAGCGUGGGGAGCAAACAGGAUUAGAUACCCUGGUAGUCCACGCCCUAAACGAUGUCUACUAGUUGUCGGGUUUUAAUUAACUUGGUAACGCAGCUAAGCGNGAGAGACGCGCGGNGGAGGUCGUCGAGAGUAAGUAACGAACGAAGUAGUAGACGNGNGAGAGACGACGACGACGACGACGGAGGGAGGAGG